rnacentral:rRNA from 1 species
UGGAUCCAGACUUUGAUCCUGGCUCAGGAUGAACGCUAGCUACAGGCUUAACACAUGCAAGUCGAGGGGCAGCGGGAUUGAAGCUUGCUUCAAUUGCCGGCGACCGGCGCACGGGUGAGUAACGCGUAUCCAACCUUCCGUACACUCAGGGAUAGCCUUUCGAAAGAAAGAUUAAUACCUGAUAGUAUCUUAAGCACACAUGUAAUUAAGAUUAAAGAUUUAUCGGUGUACGAUGGGGAUGCGUUCCAUUAGGUAGUAGGCGGGGCAACGGCCCACCUAGCCAACGAUGGAUAGGGGUUCUGAGAGGAAGGUCCCCCACAUUGGAACUGAGACACGGUCCAAACUCCUACGGGAGGCAGCAGUGAGGAAUAUUGGUCAAUGGACGAGAGUCUGAACCAGCCAAGUAGCGUGAAGGAUGAAGGUCCUACGGAUUGUAAACUUCUUUUAUAAGGGAAUAAACCCUCCCACGUGUGGGAGCUUGUAUGUACCUUAUGAAUAAGCAUCGGCUAACUCCGUGCCAGCAGCCGCGGUAAUACGGAGGAUGCGAGCGUUAUCCGGAUUUAUUGGGUUUAAAGGGAGCGCAGACGGGUCGUUAAGUCAGCUGUGAAAGUUUGGGGCUCAACCUUAAAAUUGCAGUUGAUACUGGCGUCCUUGAGUGCGGUUGAGGUGUGCGGAAUUCGUGGUGUAGCGGUGAAAUGCUUAGAUAUCACGAAGAACUCCGAUUGCGAAGGCAGCACACUAAUCCGUAACUGACGUUCAUGCUCGAAAGUGUGGGUAUCAAACAGGAUUAGAUACCCUGGUAGUCCACACGGUAAACGAUGGAUACUCGCUGUUGGCGAUAUACUGUCAGCGGCUUAGCGAAAGCGUUAAGUAUCCCACCUGGGGAGUACGCCGGCAACGGUGCAACUCAAAUGAAUUGACGGA